GCGCGGGGUUUUAAAUCACACGCAAAUCACACAACUGGCUAGUAUUUAGCAAGUUUUGAAAGUUUAAACCUAAUUGUCUGGGCCUUGUGCGUUGAACUGUAAACGGCUGUUUAAGUCAUCGAAAAGAACAUCUGGGAUAUUGGGGUAUUGGGGUAACUAUUGAUUAGCUGUUGUAGGCCAUGGAGAAGAGCAUCUGGGACAUUGAGGCAGUUAUCGAUUAGCUGCCGUUAGGCUAGUUGUUAGGGGACUGUUGGACAUUAUCACAGAUGAAAGAGAGAAGAAAUCAGGUCCACUGAGCAUGUCUUUGGAACAAACUGUAUUAGGAGACAAAAGAAAGACAAGCCUUUAAAAGAAAUACAAGAGCAUCACUAAGGAGGCAAGAAGUACUAUUGCAGGUGUUGAAAAGAAAGCAGUAGACAAAGCACAGUCUGCCCUCAUGGAAUGUGUAUUUUCCUGGAAGGACAGAAGAGAACAGAAAGAAAUUAGUGAUGGCCUAUCACGCACCAGAUGCUCAACACUGAGGAGAAAAAGAAAGAGAGGCAUAAGAGCAGGGCAGACAAGAGAACCACCCAAACUCACACUGUCAGAAAGUUUCAGUGACAAAGACAAGAAGAAUGAAAACAGUGGACUGAAAACAUAAAAGUCAUGAUAGAACAAGAAAAAGAAAUAGCAGCUUCUCAUUGGAAAAGGAUAGUGGUGAAAAGAGGAGAACUAGAACAGUAGCUACUUGCCACAAAUUCCCUUCUUUCUAAAAUCUUUAAAGAUACUCCUCAAACCAUAUACAACCAACCCUGCCAGGAAGCUGCCUAUACACAAAAGCUCUAUCACAGAAAAUACGCCCUCCAAUUCUCUUACCUCCUUCCAUCCACAACAAUAAUAGGAAAGUGCCUAAUACAUUUACGUUAAUUAUAUGCUUCUUGAGGGGGCAAAGAUGAAUAAGUGAGAGUUCUCUGGCAAUUCUAUUACAACCUUGCUCUCUUAGCCCAGGCUUCAGCAAUAGGAGAUGUAGCCAACUUCUCAGAGGCCAAUUUGGUCCUCAAUACUCAUGAGUGUGUGAGUUCUCCAAAAUCCACCAUCGCCAUUACUAUGGCUACCAUCACCACCACUGUCACCACACAUCACCAACAAGACCAUCUCUGUCAUCACCAGAAUCACUACCACCACUGUCACAAGUACCAGCACUGCCACCACACAUGCCACCAUUGCUACUGCUGUUGCUACCACCACCACCAACAACCCCACUAUCUAAUUCAAAAUACAAAGUAUU